UACGUAUGGGGCAAGCGUUAUCCGGAUUUACUGGGUGUAAAGGGAGCGUAGGCGGCCUGGCAAGCCUGAUGUGAAAUACCGGGGCCCAACCCCGGGGCUGUAUUGGGAACUGCCAGGCUGGAGUGCCGGAGAGGCAGGCGGAAUUCCUAGUGUAGCGGUGAAAUGCGUAGAUAUUAGGAAGAACACCAGUGGCGAAGGCGGCCUGCUGGACGGUGACUGACGCUGAGGCUCGAAAGCGUGGGGAGCAAACAGG
rnacentral:rRNA from 1 species